rnacentral:piRNA from 1 species
UGACAUGAUUAUUAAUGCCAAUCCAAGUC